rnacentral:rRNA from 1 species
GAGUUUGAUCAUGGCUCAGAGCGAACGUUAGCGGCGCGCUUAACACAUGCAAGUCGAACGAGAAAGGGACUUCGGUCCCCGGUAAAGUGGCGCACGGGUGCGUAACACGUAGGCAAUCUUCCCUUUGGAGGGGGAUAACUACCCGAAAGGGUAGCUAAUACCGCGUAAGACCACGGACUCUACGGAGACUGCGGUCAAAGGAGGCCUCUUCAUGAACGCUUCCACCAGAGGAUGAGCCUGCGGCCCAUCAGCUAGUUGGCGGGGUAACGGCCCACCAAGGCAAAGACGGGUAGCCGGUCUGAGAGGAUGAUCGGCCACACUGGCACUGAAACACGGGCCAGACUCCUACGGGAGGCAGCAGUGGGGAAUCUUGGACAAUGGGCGAAAGCCUGAUCCAGCGACGCCGCGUGGGUGAUGAAGGCCUUCGGGUUGUAAAGCCCUGUUGAGGGGAAAGAAAACGUUGGGCGCAAAUAGCUCCCGACCUUGACGGUACCCCUCCAGAAAGCACCGGCUAACUCUGUGCCAGCAGCCGCGGUAAGACAGAGGGUGCAAACGUUGCUCGGAAUUACUGGGCGUAAAGCGCGUGUAGGCGGGCCAACAAGUCAGAUGUGAAAUCCCUGGGCUCAACCCAGGAACUGCAUUUGAAACU